AUUAACAGUACUGUAAUGGAAACAUAAAAAGUAGAAUUAAAUAUAUUCUCUUUUAUUAUUAAGUAUGGAUAUAUACGUGUGACAGUAAAUCUUCAAUCAAAAUAAAUACGAAAUGGUGUUGAAGGACUCACUACCGCCCUCAGUGGUGUAAAUGAAAACUACGUCAGGUCUGGUUGUUUCCCCAGUGUUAUGGUAAAAAGGGUAAACAGUUUCUGCAUAAACCUAACAAACUCAGACUUCUCCAAGUGGACACACACACACAAUCAAGUAAAGUCGUUAAAAAAAGUAAAUGCAUUUUUUUACGAGAACGAAUGGACUGUGUAUGUCUCAAAAUGGCGGACGUUACUCUUCGAACUCCACCCCAGUGACGUUUUAAAGACCAAGCGAGGAGAACACCACCCGGUCCGAGGAGCCUCUGGAAGCCUGUUAAAUUGCAAACGAGCUGUUGGCUAUCGCCUCUUGCCCCAUUGUGGAAAGCUCCGCACCCGUCGCCGGUGACAAGUCGACUUGACAGUUUUCGCUGCCAGAAUUGAAAAACGUAUCAUAUCAAGACUGACCUGUGUGGGGCAGUACCGUGCCACAGGGGAAUCCAUCCAGCUGGAAGAAAACAGAAGAAGAAAGCGUCCUAAUUUGCUUUUGUUCUAUUCGGUGUCACAAUGGCAGAGCUU